rnacentral:lncRNA from 1 species
CUGCCUUUUUCUCGGGCGUUCCCUGAUUUAAUCUGUGCUGAAAUGAUGAGAUGAAUUUAUUAUAAAAUUUCUACUUUACACAGAAAAUAAAAUAAUUGGGAGCAAGAGAUGAACAAGAAGUUUCCAUCUACCCGUGUGUCUGGCAGUUGCCUGUAUGGCUGCCACAGGAUUCUUCUCACCAACCGCCCGUGUUUCAUCUUAUUCUCUCAGAACGUAGCGCAUUUAAACCAAGAUGCCGUAUAAAGGGGGGCAACGAUUAGGAUAUUAAACAAGGACAAUACUAGCUAAUGAUGGUACGGUAUCUCGCAACUGUCAGGGAAUAGAUAAGGCCUGAAGCAUGAGUACACUGCAAGUC